rnacentral:rRNA from 1 species
CCUACGGGAGGCAGCAGUGGGGAAUCUUGGUCAAUGGGCGCUAGCCUGAUGCAGCAAAGUCGCGUGGAUGAUGACUGCCCUAUGAUUGUUAAACUUCGUUUAUAUAGGAGUAAAGUGCAGAGUGUAUACGUCUUUGCAUCUACGUUAUGUAUCAGGAUAGGCUAGCUUAGUUCCAGCAGCCGCGGUGCGACGGAGGUUCCGUGCGUUGUCCGGAUUUAUUGGGUUUAAAGGGAACGCAGGCGGGCUGUUAAGUCAGUUGUGAAAGUUUGCGGCUCAACCGGAGAAGUGCAGUUGAUACUGGCAGACUUGAGUACAGAAGAGGAGGGUGGAACU